rnacentral:rRNA from 1 species
UACGGGGGGGGCAAGCGUUGUUCGGAAUUACUGGGCGUAAAGGGCUCGUAGGCGGCCAACUAAGUCAGACGUGAAAUCCCUCGGCUUAACCGGGGAACUGCAUCUGAUACUGGAUGGCUUGAGUUCGGGAGAGGGAUGCGGAAUUCCAGGUGUAGCGGUGAAAUGCGUAGAUAUCUGGAGGAAUACCGGUGGCGAAGGCGGCAUCCUGGACCGGCAUUGACGCUGAGUGAGCGAAAGCCAGGGGAGCAAACGGG